UACGGAGGGAGCUAGCGUUGUUCGGAAUUACUGGGCGUAAAGCGCACGUAGGCGGCUUUGUAAGUCAGAGGUGAAAGCCUGGAGCUCAACUCCAGAACUGCCUUUGAUACUGGCGAUCUUGAGUCCGGGAGAGGUGAGUGGAACUGCGAGUGUAGAGGUGAAAUUUCGUAGAUAUUCGCAAGAACACCAGUGGCGAAGGCGGCUCACUGGCCCGGUACUGACGCUGAGGUGGCGAAAAGCGUGGGGAGCAAACAGG
rnacentral:rRNA from 1 species